rnacentral:lncRNA from 1 species
ACAUGACCCACUGGCUUCCUGAUUCUGCCUAUUGUACUCCAGCUCACUGGCAAGAAAGUGACAGGAGACCCUAACAAAGAACCAAGAGAAAAGGGGCCAAGAUGAGACAACCCUUGAGACAAGAUGAGAACAUCACCAAGCCCUUCCUACAGGUAGAUCUAAUUGAGUAUCACUGUCUAAGAGGGUUCAUUACUAGCACCUGCCUGACCAAGUUGGAGCCAGCCAACAUGGAAUUAAGCAAACUGAGUCUAGUUCUGUUUGGAGAGAAACAGGUUAAACCAGACCAGGAACUCUUGAGGACAGUCCACA